AAGAAUAUUGCAUAAGAACUCUCUGUUACAAAUAACAUGUAAAAGGUUUUCUGAUGAGAGUGCAGGUACUGCCCCUGAUGAGCUGCUUCAGGUUGAGGUGUGGCUCUGCAUAAAAGGAGCUGCAGGUACCAGCUGCGUCUAUGGAUUUUCUAUCCAGCGGACAGGUCUAAAGUUUUGAAAUGAAUCGAGGACACUGUGGUCAAGGAGGCCACGGACAAGGUGGUGGGUACGGACAGUGCGGACAAGGUGGUGGGCACGGACAGUGCGGACAAGGUGGUGGGCACGGAAACUGUGGUGGCCAUGGACAUGGUGGCCAUGG